AUAUCCGUAGGUCGAAUGAUAGACCCACACACUACGAAUCCGUAGGUCGGGAGUUCGAAUCUCUCCUGGUGCACCA
rnacentral:tRNA from 1 species